CAGAAAACCCUGUUCACAAACCAAAACAUCUCUAGUGUAGUCCAGCCUUUACUUCCAAGACAAACGUGCAUCACUCUAUAAUACACUUUAUAA